GCAACACUGAGGCUGUGAAGUCCUUCAUCUUGGGCUGGCCCACUCAGAACUUUGUGGCCACUUUCAAGGCUCAGACACAGAUUACCAGUUGUGGGUAAAUUCUGGAAAGAAAAAGGAAGGAUAUCCCCUUGUUGGACACGAAUACCCAUACGGG